rnacentral:rRNA from 1 species
ACUGCAUGAAGUCGGAAUCGCUAGUAAUCGCAGAUCAGCAAAGCUGCGGUGAAUACGUUCCCGGGCCUUGUACACACCGCCCGUCACACCACGGGAGUCGGUCGCGCCUGAAGCCGGUGGCCUAUCAGUAAUGGGGGAGCCGUCUAUGGCGAGAUUGGUAACUGGGGUGAAGUCGUAACAAGGUAUC